GGAGUUUGGCCAGCUCAGGGAAGAUUCAUCGACCCCUCCUGCAGCUUCUUGGGGUAUCUGCAGUGUGUAGAGAUGCGAGGGAUCUGUGGGUUUGCUGUGUCAUGUGAGUGAGGGCUAUUUAUAGCCAGGGAAGCUGAAAAGGAUCAAGACUAUGGAUCUUGGGGAAAGAAGUGGACACAGAUUCUGAAAACUUCAGCAUGAAUUAGAAGAGAAGGUUUUGCUGUGGAUGGUCCAGUCCAUUUCCAAAUGUGACAUCCAGAGUCGCUGUCACACCUGUGUCAGUGGGACACACUCUGUUCUGUCACUGCCAAGGCCAGAUCCUCUGGGGACAAGAGAUCUCUGCCAGCUGAAAUGGACACACAACCAUCUGGUCCAGUUGGGUUCCACAGAUCGUUUCACAGGGGCCAUGCUCUACUCCCUACAGACAGGAAGGAGAAGCUGCUUACAGCGGUGUUUUGGACACUUUUAUCUUUCUGUUGCCAUGGAUGAGUGAAAAGAACAGAUCUCUCCCUGCUGCUGUUUACCUGGAAAUAACAAAGA